rnacentral:rRNA from 1 species
GACGAACGCUGGCGGCGUGCCUAACACAUGCAAGUCGAACGGGGGUAGCAAUACCUCAGUGGCGAACGGGUGCGUAACACGUGAAGAAUUUGUCUAACGGCGGGGGAUAGCCGGCCCAACGGCCGGGUAAUACCGCGUACGACCUCUGGAGGGCAUCCUCUGGUGGUGAAAGCCGCAAGGCGCCGAUAGAGAACUUCGCGGCCUAUCAGCUAGUUGGCGGGGUAAUGGCCCACCAAGGCGACGACGGGUAGCUGGUCCGAGAGGAUGACCAGCCACAUUGGGACUGAGACACGGCCCAGACUCCUACGGGAGGCAGCAGUGGGGAAUAUUGCGCAAUGGGCGAAAGCCUGACGCAGCGACGCCGCGUGUGGGAUGACGGCCUCGGUUGUAAC